GAUCUCGUAGUGUAGCGGUUAACACGCCUGCCUGUCACGCAGGAGAUCGCGGGUUCGAUUCCCGUUGAGACCGCCA
rnacentral:tRNA from 1 species